UACGGGGGGGGCAAGCGUUGUUCGGAAUUACUGGGCGUAAAGGGCUCGUAGGUGGCCAACUAAGUCAUACGUGAAAUCCCUCGGCUUAACCGGGGAACUGCGUCUGAUACUGGAUGGCUUGAGGUUGGGAGAGGGAUGCGGAAUUCCAGGUGUAGCGGUGAAAUGCGUAGAUAUCUGGAGGAACACCGGUGGCGAAGGCGGCAUCCUGGACCAAUUCUGACACUGAGGAGCGAAAGCCAGGGGAG
rnacentral:rRNA from 1 species